GGCUAGUUGGUCUAGUAGUAUAAUUUCUAAUUUCUAACUAUAAAUUAGAAGGUUACAGGUUCAAUUCCUGUAUUAGCCU
rnacentral:tRNA from 2 species